rnacentral:tRNA from 1 species
UGGGUUGUAGCUCAGUGGUAGAGCACUCGCUUGGCAUGUGUGAGGCACUGGGUUUGAUCCUCAGCACCACAU